rnacentral:rRNA from 1 species
AUUGAACGCUGGCGGCAGGCCUAACACAUGCAAGUCGAGCGUGAAAGUCUUCGGAUGAGUAAAGCGGCGAACGGGUGGGUAACGCGUGGGAAUCUGCCCAGUAGUGGGGGACAACAGCCGGAAACGGCUGCUAAUACCGCAUACGCCCUACGGGGGAAAGGGGGGGAUAUUCGGACCUCUCGCUAUUGGAUGAGCCCGCGUCGGAUUUGCUAGUUGGUGAGGUAAAGGCUCACCAAGGCGACGAUCCGUAACUGGUCUGAGAGGAUGAUCAGGCACACUGGAACUGAGACACGGUCCAGACUCCUACGGGAGGCAGCAGUGGGGAAUAUUGGACAAUGGGGGCAACCCUGAUCCAGCCAUGCCGCGUGUGUGAAGAAGGCCCUAGGGUUGUAAAGCACUUUCAGUGGGGAGAGAAGUGAUUCACCUAAUACGUGAGUCAAUUGAUGUUACCCACAGAAGAAGCACCGGCUAACUCCGUGCCAGCCGCCGCCGUAA